AAACAGGAUGGACGGACAGCUUGCCGCUUAAGGGUCCGCAUGCUGUUGUUGAAGUCAGAGGUGAAAGUUUGCAGCUCAACUGUAAAAUUGCCUUUGAUACUGGAUGACUUGAGUUAUAAUGAAGUGGUUAGAAUAUGUAGUGUAGCGGUGAAAUGCAUAGAUAUUACAUAGAAUACCGAUUGCGAAGGCAGAUCACUAAUUAUAUACUGACGCUGAGGGACGAAAGCGUGGGGAGCGAACAGGAUUAGAUACCCUGGUAGUCCACGCUGUAAACGAUGGUUACUAGCUGUUUGGUUUUCGGACUGAGUGGCUAAGCGAAAGUGAUAAGUAACCCACCUGGGGAGUACGAUCGCAAGAUUGAAACUCAAAGGAAUUGACGGAGGAAC
rnacentral:rRNA from 1 species